rnacentral:rRNA from 1 species
GAUGAACGCUGGCGGCGUGCCUAAUACAUGCAAGUCGAACGCGCAGCGAGAGGUGCUUGCACCUUUCAAGCGAGUGGCGAACGGGUGAGUAACACGUGGAUAACCUGCCUCAAGGCUGGGGAUAACAUUUGGAAACAGAUGCUAAUACCGAAUAAAACUUAGUAUCGCAUGAUAUCAAGUUAAAAGGCGCUACGGCGUCACCUAGAGAUGGAUCCGCGGUGCAUUAGUUAGUUGGUGGGGUAAAGGCUUACCAAGACGAUGAUGCAUAGCCGAGUUGAGAGACUGAUCGGCCCCAGUGGGACUGAGCCACGGCCCAAACUCCUACGGGAGGCUGCAGUAGGGAAUCUUCCACAAUGGGCGCAAGCCUGAUGGAGCAACGCCGCGUGUGUGAUGAAGGCUUUCGGGUCGUAAAGCACUGCUGUAUGGGAAGAAAUGCUAAAAUAGGGAAUGAUUUUAGUUUGACGGUACCAUACCAGAAAGGGACGGCUAAAUACGUGCCAGCAGCCGCCGUAA